rnacentral:rRNA from 1 species
AGUGAACGCUCGCGGUAGGCCUAACACAUGCAAGUCGAACGGCAGCACAGUAAGAGCUUGCUCUUACGGGUGGCGAGUGGCGGACGGGUGAGGAAUACAUCGGAAUCUACUUUUUCGUGGGGGAUAACGUAGGGAAACUUACGCUAAUACCGCAUACGACCUACGGGUGAAAGCAGGGGAUCUUCGGACCUUGCGCGAUUGAAUGAGCCGAUGUCGGAUUAGCUAGUUGGCGGGGUAAAGGCCCACCAAGGCGACGAUCCGUAGCUGGUCUGAGAGGAUGAUCAGCCACACAGGAACUGAGACACGGUCCAGACUCCUACGGGAGGCAGCAGUGGGGAAUAUUGGACAAUGGGCGCAAGCCUGAUCCAGCCAUACCGCGUGGGUGAAGAAGGCCUUCGGGUUGUAAAGCCCUCUUGUUGGGAAAGAAAAGCAGCAGGUUAAUACCCCGCUGUUCUGACGGUACCCAAAGAAUAAGCACCGGCUAACUUCGUG